ACCUGUCUGGCUCAGUCGGAAGAGCACAAGGCUCUUGAUCUCCAGGUCAUGAGUUCGAGCCCCAUGUUGGGUG
rnacentral:tRNA from 1 species